rnacentral:rRNA from 1 species
GUUUGGUCAUAAGCUCGGAUGAACACUUUGGCGGGAUGCUUUACACAUACCGAAAUCGAACGGCAGCACGGACCUCAGUCCGGUGGCGAGUGGCGAACGGGUGAUAAUGUAUCCGGAACGUGCCUAGUAGCGAGGAUAACUACGCGAAAGCAUGUCAUCUACCCAUACGCCCUUGGGGAAAAGCGGGGGACCCUUCGGGCCUCGCACUAUUAGAACUGGCCGAUAUCCGGAUUGGCUAGUUGGGUAGGGUAACGGCUCACAAGGCGACGAUCCGUAGCUGGUUUUGAGAGGACGACCAGCCACACUGGGACUGAGACACGGCCCAGACUCUACGGGAGGCAGCAGUGAAAUUUUGGACAAUGGAAGCCACAGUCCAGCCGUCGCGAUGAUGCGAUGAGGCCUUCGGGUUGCUUAAAAACACUUUUGGCGGAGGAAAAAGAAACAGCUGGAUAAUACCCGUGCAACUGACAGUACCUGCAGAAUAAGCACCGGCUAACUACAUGCCCUUAGCCAUGUCAGUAAUACAUGGGGUGCGCUUUGUUAAUCGGAAUUACUGGGCGUAAAGCGUGCGCAGGCGGUUCGGAAAGAAGAUGUGAAAUCCAGAGCUUAACUUUGGAACUGCGUACAACUACCGAAAGCUAGAGUGUGUCAGAGGGGAGGUGGAAUUCAUGAUGUAGCAGUGAAAUGCGUAGAUAUGCGGAGGAACACCGAUGGCGAAAACAGCCUCCUGGGAUAACACUGACGCUCAUGCACGAAAGCGUGGGAGCAAACGGGAUUAGAUACCCUGGUGAGUCCACGCCCUAAACGAUGUCAACUAACUGUUGGGGCCUUCGGACCUUGGUGGCGCAGCUUCUUUGUGAGAUGACCACCUGGGGGAGUAGGUCGCAAGAUUGAAACUCAAAGGAAUUGACGGGGACCCGCACAAGCGGUGGAUGAUGUGGAUUAAUUCGAUGCAACGCGAAAACCUUACCUACCCUUGACAUGUCUGGAAUCCCGAAGAGAUUUGGGAGUGCUCGCAAGAGAGAACCGGAACACAGAUGCUGCAUGGCUGUCGUCAGCUCGUGUCGUGAGAUGUUGGGUUAAGUCCGCAGCAGGCGCAACCCUUGUCAUUAGUUGCUACGAGGAGCACUCUGUGAGACUGCCGGUGACAAACCGGAGGAAGGUGGGGAUGACGUCAAGUCCUCAUGGCCCUUAUGGGUAGGGCUUCACACGUCAUACAAUGGUCGGGACAGAGGGUCGCCAACCCGCGAGGAGGCAAUCCCAGAAACCCGAUCGUGGUCCGGAUCGCAGUCUGCAACUCGACUGCGUGAAGUCGGAAUCGCUAGUAAUCGCGGAUCAGCAUGCCGCGGUGAAUACGUUCCCGGGUCUUGUACCGCCCCGUACACCAUGGGAGUGGGUUUUGCAGAAGUAGUUAGCCUAACCGUAAGGAGGGCGAUUACCACGGUAGGAUUCAUGACUGGGGUGAAGUCUAACAAGGUAG